rnacentral:rRNA from 1 species
UACGUAGGGAGCAAGCGUUGUCCGGAAUCAUUGGGCGUAAAGCGCGCGUAGGCGGCCUCAUAAGUCCGUUGUGAAAGUCAAAGGCUCAACCUUUGAAAGCCGAUGGAUACUGUGAGGCUAGAGUCCGGAAGAGGCGAGUGGAAUUCCUGGUGUAGCGGUGGAAUGCGUAGAGAUCCGGAAGAACACCGGUGGCGAAGGCGGCCCGCUGGGCAGGAAGGCUCGCAAGAGCCGGCUGACGCUGAGGCGCGACAGCGUGGGGAGCAAACAGG